rnacentral:tRNA from 1 species
GGGGGCUUAAGCUAAUGGCUAAACUGGCGGUCUCCAAAACCGCACUUGAAGGUUCGACUCCUUCAGCCCCCG